rnacentral:lncRNA from 1 species
GGAAUGUCUAGGGUUGCAGGAAUAAUGACGGGAAUGACUUGGUCUUUAAAAUGGGAUUCUGAAGCUCGGAAAUAGGCUCCCCACGGUUGUUAAAAUCGCUGCCGCGGUGGAAGGUCUUCCGGCCGUAGGUGGGAACAUUCUCAGCUUCCGGACUGUGUUGAUUCACCUUCAGUGCAACAAGCAUAUGGAGAUCUAACCGUUGGAUUGCUUUGAUUCCAAGUGCAUUGGAAAGCUGAUUUAC